rnacentral:rRNA from 1 species
GACGGCGGUGUUUGGCACCUCGAUGUCGGCUCAUCACAUCCUGGGGCUGAAGCCGGUCCCAAGGGUAUGGCUGUUCGCCAUUUAAAGUGGUACGCGAGCUGGGUUUAGAACGUCGUGAGACAGUUCGGUCCCUAUCUGCCGUGGACGUUUGAGAUUUGAGAGGGGCUGCUCCUAGUACGAGAGGACCGGAGUGGACGAACCUCUGGUGUUCCGGUUGUCACGCCAGUGGCAUUGCCGGGUAGCUACGUUCGGAAGAGAUAACCGCUGAAAGCAUCUAAGCGGGAAACUUGCCUCAAGAUGAGAUCUCACUGGAGCCUUGAGCUCCCUAAAGGGCCGUCGAAGACUACGACGUUGAUAGGUUGGGUGUGUAAGCGCUGUGAGGCGUUGAGCUAACCAAUACUAAUUGCCCGUGAGGCUUGACCAU